AUCUACGGCCAUACCACCCUGAAUGCACCCGAUCUUGUCUGAUCUCCGAAGCUAAGCAGGGUCGGGCCUGGUUAGUACUUGGAUGGGAGGAACUACAAAAAUCACUUUAAAAAGAGGUAGUUCUUAUC
rfam:Cavia porcellus supercont2_9 genomic scaffold, whole genome shotgun sequence.